rnacentral:rRNA from 1 species
UACGGAGGGGACUAGCGUUGUUCGGAAUUACUGGGCGUAAAGCGCACGUAGGCGGAUUUGUAAGUCAGGGGUGAAAUCCCAGGGCUCAACCCUGGAACUGCCUUUGAUACUGUCGAUCUGGAGUAUGGAAGAGGUGAGUGGAAUUCCGAGUGUAGAGGUGAAAUUCGUAGAUAUUCGGAGGAACACCAGUGGCGAAGGCGGCUCACUGGUCCAUUACUGACGCUGAGGUGCGAAAGCGUGGGGAGCAAACAGG